rnacentral:rRNA from 1 species
UACGAAGGGGGCUAGCGUUGCUCGGAAUCACUGGGCGUAAAGCGCACGUAGGCGGGUUGUUAAGUCGGGGGUGAAAUCCUGGAGCUCAACUCCAGAACUGCCUUCGAUACUGGGAAUCUUGAGUCCGGAAGAGGUGAGUGGAACUGCGAGUGUAGAGGUGAAAUUCGUAGAUAUUCGCAAGAACACCAGUGGCGAAGGCGGCUCACUGGUCCGGUACUGACGCUGAGGUGCGAAAGCGUGGGGAGCAAACAGG